UUUUUUGCAAUUUUAAAUGUUUCCUAUAGACAUUCCAGUUUGUUUACUUUAAAUACUAGAAAAAUCUCAUUUUUUUCUGAAUUGGAAAACCAUUUUUAUCGUUAAAGAUUAGACAGUACUUCACAUAUGAAGGUACAACUCAUGUUACGUAGUGGACAAAACCGUUUCGUAGUGGACAAAAAGUUUCGUAGUUGACAUCAACCCUAUUAUAUGUUAAUAAAAACAUAAUAAAAAUUACAUGAAACUAGCCCUUGUUAUUUGUUUUGCACGAAUAUAAUUGAAAAAAGAUUAAAAAAAGACUGCAUGGUAGUGGUAGUGUCCACUACGAAACGUUUUUCUCUCAUACUUGUUUCGUAGGGGACAUAUUCGCAUGUUUUAUUUUUUCCUCCACAAUUCCUAUAUUGUAAUAGUAACAAUACUGUCAGUGAUUGUAUUCAUCAAAGCAUUUAUUAAGCUGUACACUGAUAUUUUUUUCAUAAUUUUAAAACCAGAUACUGAAGGAGAUUUGACCCGUUUCGUAGUGGACAUUAACAAAAAUACGGUAUCACUCUGGUCCAUUUGAUGUGCUCAAUUUUUCUUACCAACAAUUUAAUUGCCGUUAUAAAAGCAUCACUUCUUUUGUAAGACCC
rnacentral:lncRNA from 1 species